AUAUAGCUCACUGGUAGAGCAUGUGCUUAGUAUACACAGAAAUCUGGGUUCAAUUCCCAGCAU
rnacentral:tRNA from 1 species